UUUGACCUUCAUUUACCCUUUCUCAAACCCUAGCAGCCACAACACCAACUCUAGCCGAUCCUUCAGAACCCAAAACUGAGCCCAUCUCUGCAAUAGCAUCGGCUUCUCCAGGGAUAAAUCAAGACGGGCUCCCUGCAGGUCAGGGUGUCUUGCCAAGUACAACCAGGUCACAGUCAUGACUCAUGAUCACCAGCAAUAAUCUCAUCAAGGUCCCAGGAGGAAUCACGAGAAUUCACUGCCGAAUUGGUUUUUUUUUUUAAGUUUAUUUGGUUGCUGGAAAGAAACCGUGAAAUGAAGGGCUCUAGAGUAUGAUCAUUUGUGCCUCAAAUUUGGUAAGGUUUCUUUCCCCUAUAUAAUUUUGAUUGGUACUUGUAGAUUUUCAUCAUAAAUUAUUGUAUUCUCUUGCAAAGUUCAUUUUUGACACUUAUGUAAACUUUAACCCACUUCACCAGAUAACUUAAAUCUGUUUUGUUUGAUCAUUAUGUUAUAAUAUUCUAUGUGGUUGCAAGUUUGAAAAAUGGAGGGAGACAGAUCAGUUAUGAACAAAUUAGCAUGGUUCAUCCUA
rnacentral:sRNA from 1 species